rnacentral:rRNA from 1 species
AUUGAAAAUAAAUUAAUUCAGUUAAAAUUAAUCAUUAAUUAAAUAAAGAUCUAUUUAUUACUUGACUUUAAAACACAAAAAAGAAAAAAUUAUUUUGGUUAUAAUUUUUAAAAUAGGCUAAUAACGUGCCAGCAGCCGCGGUUACACGUUAUAUUUAAGUUUAAUCUAAUUUAUUUACUAAUUAAUUAAAAAUAUAACUGUAGAAAAAAGUAAAAUUUUUAUCUUUUAGUUAACACCGUUGCAUUUAAAAUUCACUUAGAUAAAAUAAACUAGGAUUAGAGACCCUAUUAUAGUCUGCACUAAGGGACUAACUCUUUACGUAUAAACUAAUGAAUUAUGACGGCACUUGUCUUGAAUAGAGGAACUUGUAUUUUAAUUCGAUAAUACACGCUAAUUUUAACUUAAUUUAAGUCUAUAUACCGCCGUCUAGAUUUAAUAAAAAAAUUAUUUUCAAAAGAUUAUUUAACAUGUCAGGUCAAGGUGUAGCUAACAAUUAAGUCAAUAUGAGUUACAUUAAAUAUAAUUUAAGGAGAGAGAUUAAAAAAUUUAUCAUAAAGAGGAUCUAUAAGUAUUUUCUAAUUAAAAAUUAGAAAAUAAUUAAUUAACAAAUGUGUACAUAUCGCCCGUCAUCCUUAUCUAAAGAUAAGGCAAGUCGUAACAUAGUUGAUGUUCUAGAAAGAGCCUCAAG